GACGAACGCUGGCGGCGUGCUUAACACAUGCAAGUCGAACGGAAAGGCCCUGCUUUUGUGGGGUGCUCGAGUGGCGAACGGGUGAGUAACACGUGAGUAACCUGCCCUUGACUUUGGGAUAACUUCAGGUAACUGGGGCUAAUACCGGAUAGGAUCUCCUGCUGCAUGGUGGGGGUUGGAAAGUUGAGGCGGUUGGGGAUGGACUCGCGGCUUAUCAGCUUGUUGGUGGGGUAGUGGCUUACCAAGGCUUUGACGGGUAGCCGGCCUGAGAGGGUGACCGGCCACAUUGGGACUGAGAUACGGACCAGACUCCUACGGGAGGCAGCAGUGGGGAAUAUUGCACAAUGGGCGGAAGCCUGAUGCAGCAACGCCGCGUGCGGGAUGACGGCCUUCGGGCUGUAAACCGCUUUCGCCUGUGACGAAGCGUGAGUGACGGUAAUGGGUAAAGAAGCACCGGCUAACUACGUG
rnacentral:rRNA from 1 species